rnacentral:rRNA from 1 species
AUUGAACGCUGGCGGCAGGCCUAACACAUGCAAGUCGAGCGAGCGGCGUACGUGAUGGUAAUGAAUGGGCAUCUGCCCGAGGGAGGGGGAUAACUACUGGGCACGGUUGCUACUACCGCCUUCUUGCGGCUGAACCCAUAUGGGAUUUUCUAGUGGGUGGGGUAAAGGCUCACCUAGGCCACUAUCUCUACCUGGUCUGAGAGGAUGAUCAGUCACACUGGGACUGAGACACGGUCCAGACUCCUACGGGAGGCAGCAGUGGGGAAUAUUGGACAAUGGGCGAAAGCCUGAUGCAGCCAUGCCGCGUGUAUGAAGAAGGUCUUCGGGUUGUAAAGUACUUUCAGUCGGGAGGCGUUACCGACAGAAGAAGCACCGGCUAACUCCGUGCCAGCAGCCGCGGUAAUUC